rnacentral:rRNA from 1 species
CCUACGGGAGGCAGCAGUAGGGAAUAUUGCACAAUGGGGGAAACCCUGAAGCAGCGACGCCGCGUGAAGGAAGAAGUUUUUCGGUUUGUAAACUCCUAUUAUUAGAGAAGAUAAUGACGGUAUCUGACGAAUAAGCACCGACUAACUCCGUGCCAGCAGCCGCGGUAAUACGGAGGGUGCAAGCGUUACCCGGAUUCACUGGGCGUAAAGAGCGCGUAGGCGGGAUAGCAAGUCAGAUGUGAAAUCCUAUGGCUUAACCCUAGAACUGCAUUUGAAACUGUUGAUCUAGAGUAUGGGAGAGGUAGGUGGAAUUCUUGGUGUAGGGGUAAAAUGCGUAGAGAUCAAGAGGAAUACGCAUUGCGAAGGCGACCUGCUAGAACAUAAAUGACGCUGAUGCGCGAAAGCGUGGGGAGCAAACAGGAUUAGAUACCCUUGUAGUC